rnacentral:rRNA from 1 species
AGAGUUUGAUCCUGGCUCAGGAUAAACGCUGGCGGCGUGCCUAACACAUGCAAGUCGAACGCGCUUCGCAAGAAGCGAGUGGCGGACGGGUGAGUAACACGUGGGUAUCUACCUUUUAGUGAGGGAUACCGGCGAGAAAUCGCCGACAAUCCCGCAUAGGCUCGGCAACGAGCAAAGCUCCUUUUCGGAGGGGCGCUGAA